AAAAUAGGGGAGCUUGUAGAGCAGGCUGAGAGGAAGGAUCACCUUCGACCCUUUAACCUGAUGCGGAUAAUGCCGCCGUAGGAAAUUC
rnacentral:ncRNA from 1 species